GAGUGGCGGACGGGUGAGUAACACGUGGGUAACCUGCCCUUAAGUGGGGGAUAACAUUUGGAAACAGAUGCUAAUACCGCAUAGAUCCAAGAACCGCAUGGUUCUUGGCUGAAAGAUGGCGUAAGCUAUCGCUUUUGGAUGGACCCGCGGCGUAUUAGCUAGUUGGUGAGGUAAUGGCUCACCAAGGCGAUGAUACGUAGCCGAACUGAGAGGUUGAUCGGCCACAUUGGGACUGAGACACGGCCCAAACUCCUACGGGAGGCAGCAGUAGGGAAUCUUCCACAAUGGACGCAAGUCUGAUGGAGCAACGCCGCGUGAGUGAAGAAGGCUUUCGGGUCGUAAAACUCUGUUGUUGGAGAAGAAUGGUCGGCAGAGUAACUGUUGUCGGCGUGACGGUAUCCAACCAGAAAGCCACGGCUAACUACGUGCCAGCAGCCGCGGUAAUACGUAGGUGGCAAGCGUUAUCCGGAUUUAUUGGGCGUAAAGCGAGCGCAGGCGGUUUUUUAAGUCUGAUGUGAAAGCCCUCGGCUUAACCGAGGAAGCGCAUCGGAAACUGGGAAACUUGAGUGCAGAAGAGGACAGUGGAACUCCAUGUGUAGCGGUGAAAUGCGUAGAUAUAUGGAAGAACACCAGUGGCGAAGGCGGCUGUCUGGUCUGUAACUGACGCUGAGGCUCGAAAGCAUGGGUAGCGAACAGGAUUAGAUACCCUGGUAGUCCAUGCCGUAAACGAUGAAUGCUAGGUGUUGGAGGGUUUCCGCCCUUCAGUGCCGCAGCUAACGCAUUAAGCAUUCCGCCUGGGGAGUACGACCGCAAGGUUGAAACUCAAAGGAAUUGACGGGGGCCCGCACAAGCGGUGGAGCAUGUGGUUUAAUUCGAAGCAACGCGAAGAACCUUACCAGGUCUUGACAUCUUUUGAUCACCUGAGAGAUCAGGUUUCCCCUUCGGGGGCAAAAUGACAGGUGGUGCAUGGUUGUCGUCAGCUCGUGUCGUGAGAUGUUGGGUUAAGUCCCGCAACGAGCGCAACCCUUAUGACUAGUUGCCAGCAUUUAGUUGGGCACUCUAGUAAGACUGCCGGUGACAAACCGGAGGAAGGUGGGGAUGACGUCAAAUCAUCAUGCCCCUUAUGACCUGGGCUACACACGUGCUACAAUGGAUGGUACAACGAGUUGCGAGACCGCGAGGUCAAGCUAAUCUCUUAAAGCCAUUCUCAGUUCGGACUGUAGGCUGCAA
rnacentral:rRNA from 1 species